rnacentral:rRNA from 1 species
CCUACGGGCGGCUGCAGUGAGGAAUAUUGGGCAAUGGGCGAAAGCCUGACCCAGCAACGCCGCGUGAGGGAUGAAGGCCUUCGGGUUGUAAACCUCUUUUCUGGGAGAAGAGACAAGGACGGUAUCCCAGGAAUAAGUCUCGGCUAACUACGUGCCAGCAGCCGCGGUAAUACGUAGGAGGCAAGCGUUAUCCGGAUUCACUGGGCGUAAAGCGCACGCAGGCGGUUAUGUAAGUCGGACGUGAAAGCUCCUGGCUCAACUGGGAGAGGUCGUUCGAUACUGCAUAGCUUGAGGUUGGGAGAGGGAAGCGGAAUUCCCGGUGUAGUGGUGGAAUGCGUAGAUAUCGGGAGGAACACCAGUGGCGAAAGCGGCUUCCUGGCCCAUACCUGACGCUCAGGUGCGAAAGCGUGGGGAGCGAACGGGCUUAGAUACCCCAGUAGUC